AAAUGGAAUAUUGGUAACAAACUAGGAU
rnacentral:sRNA from 1 species